rnacentral:rRNA from 1 species
AUUGUACGCUGGCGGCAUGCCUUACACAUGCAAGUCGAACGGCAGCGGGGACUUCGGUCCGCCGGCGAGUGGCGAACGGGUGAGUAAUGUAUCGGAACGUACCAUUCAGUGGGGGAUAACUAUCCGAAAGGAUAGCUAAUACCGCAUAUUCUGUGAGCAGGAAAGCAGGGGAUCGCAAGACCUUGCGCUGAUUGAGCGGCCGAUAUCAGAUUAGCGAGUUGGUGAGGUAACGGUCCACCAAGGCUACGAUCUGUAGCGGGUCUGAGAGGAUGAUCCGCCACACUGGGACUGAGACACGGCCCAGACUCCUACGGGAGGCAGCAGUGGGGAAUUUUGGACAAUGGGCGCAAGCCUGAUCCAGCCAUGCCGCGUGAGUGAAGAAGGCCUUCGGGUUGUAAAGCUCUUUCGGCCGGGAAGAAAUCGCAUCAGCUAAUACCUGGUGUGGAUGACGGUACCGGAAUAAGAAGCACCGGCUAACUACGUGCCAGCAGCCGCCGUAAAAC